rnacentral:antisense_RNA from 1 species
AGAACAUACCUGUGAUUUUGACAUUAACUUAUGAAAAAAUGAAUAUUGAUGAAGCUAUGAAUCUUAUAAAUAAAUUAGAUUUAAAAAAAAUUAAAAACAGUUUGUAGUGGUGGUCGCGACAGGAUUCGAACCUGUGACCCCUACCA